rnacentral:rRNA from 1 species
UACAGAGGUGGCAAGCGUUGUUCGGAAUUACUGGGCGUAAAGGGCGCGUAGGCGGCCAUCUAAGUCAGACGUGAAAUCUCCGGGCUUAACUCGGAAAGGUCAACUGAUACUGUGCGACUAGAGUGCAGAAGGGGCAACUGGAAUUCUCGGUGUAGCGGUGAAAUGCGUAGAUAUCGAGAGGAACACCUGCGGCGAAGGCGGGUUGCUGGGCUGACACUGACGCUGAGGCGCGAAAGCCAGGGGAGCGAACGGG